CCUACGGGUGGCAGCAGUGAGGAAUAUUGGUCAAUGGGCGUAAGCCUGAACCAGCCAAGCCGCGUGAGGGAUGAAGGUUCUAUGGAUCGUAAACCUCUUUUAUAAGGGAAUAAAGUGCGGCACGUGUCCCUUUCCGUAUGUACCUUAUGAAUAAGGAUCGGCUAACUCCGUGCCAGCAGCCGCGGUAAUACGGAGGAUUCGAGCGUUAUCCGGGUUUAUUGGGGUUAAAGGGUGCGUAGGCGGCCUUUUAAGUCAGCGGUGAAAGUCCGGGGCUCAACCCCAGCAGUGCCGUUGAAACUGGGAGGCUUGAGAAUGUUUGAGGCAGGCGGAAUGCGCGGUGUAGCGGUGAAAUGCUUAGAUAUCACGCAGAACCCCGAUUGCGAAGGCAGCAUACCGGGGCAUGACUGACGCUGAGGCACGAAAGCGUGGGGAUCAAACAGGAUUAGAUACCCUAGUAGUC
rnacentral:rRNA from 1 species